GGGAGGUUGGCGGUGGACGAGACUCUCGCCAACCCGGUCAGAUCCGGAAGGAAGCAGCCGUAACGAGCCCGUUUCGGGUCGCGUGUCAGCCUCCCACU
rnacentral:SRP_RNA from 1 species